rnacentral:rRNA from 1 species
AUGGCAUUCUUAGUCGGGAGCUUGGUAAGGCUCAAUAUAUCUUUCAGUAUGCAAAUAAUUUCCAUUGAUGACGAUUUGUUUAAAAACUUCCAUCUCGUUUUAAGAAUAUUUUUAUCCUAUAAUAUGUGUAAAGAGCUUAUCGAAAUCAGAGUAAUAGACUGUAUCGUACCCAUGACAUUUACAGCCUGCUUGGUACUGAAUAUUGCAGGGAGAUGCACAGUACAUAUAAAACUAUCUAUUGUGGACGUUUGUUUGUUUGUGGGAAAUUUUAUCUCUUCCCUACAGUCAAAGCUCAUGUGCAAUUUGGAGAGAAAUGCACGCAUGCUAUCGCUGCAUUUGACAAUUCCUUUUAGGUAUCAAGCCAAUAGCGGCUUACGUUUCCUGGUCAUUUUUCUCUUGGAAAUGGAAGUUGUUGCUUCCUAG